rnacentral:lncRNA from 1 species
AAGAGUAGAAUACAAUAAUUUGUAAAAAUCGUACAUGUAAUUCUAAACUUCUUAUAUUUUCUCUCUUCAUCAUAUACUCACUCUAGAAGCAUCAUCCUCCUCCUCUUUCAUUUUAGACUAAGCUAACACGGGAUACAACCUUAUAUAUGAUAACUUCAUUUUAAAAUUUAUUUUAAUGUGUUAAAAGUUUGGAGGGGCCGAAAUGAAACUUAGUGAGACGGAAGGAAAUAAAAGGAAGGUGAGUUACCUCUCUAACUUAGAAGUCACAUUUGGCCACAUGACUUCAUAAUGUUCCACUUUAUUUAAAAAACCUAACUUAAGUUAGGAUAGACCAACACAUUUUUUUGAGUGACCCAUUUAUUUUUUUAAUUUCCAACUUUGAAGUCAUGAUGAGUUAAUAUGAUUUUUGAGUGAUACAUUUAUUUUAUAAUUUUCCAAUCAAGAAUUCAUGGUGGGCCAACAUGAGUUAUGAUUGGCCCAUUUAUUGUUUUAAUUUCCAGCUCAGAGGUCCCAAUCGACUAAGAUAGCUUCUGAGUGAUCUAUUUAUUUUCAAUUUUCCAACUUGACCCAUUUGUUUUUUAAAUUUACAAGUCGUAUUGUGCAAAUACUCUUUUAACAUCGUGUUGGGCCUGGAUUUGAAGUCAUGUACAGUGGUAUGGAUUAACGAGUAAAUGACGCAAUUAUUUCUUCAGCCAAUAAUAUCAAGUAAAUGAAAAAAUAAUCUAUGUUAUUAAAUUAGAUUGAAAACGAAACAAACAUAAUUGAUUUAGUCUCCUCCCAAAUGAGUCUUAGUCUCACACUAAGGCGUGUGCCUCUUUCGUUCGGGUAGUUGGAGUCCACGUCCACUUUGUUCUUCAUUUGAUUGUUCUAUAAAUAUUUUUUUAUGUACCUUGGAAGUUGGAAGAACUAAGACCGGAAUCAUGUUGAUCAAAAUUUUAGGAUAGACCGUUGAAGUAUGGCACUUGCUAAUUUAGGGGUAUCGAUAUUCACAACAAACAAAUUAGUAUGAAAAUCACUCAUAGUUGCAGCAAAUGAGUGACGUUGAAAUAUUCAAAGUGGUGUUGGGAUGAUGGAUGAUAUCAAAAUGACAUUUUUCGCAGUUGAAUUACGAACAUCUGGGACAUGGGAGCUUGCGGUGUCAGGGCUUGAGGAAUUGAAAGAUAGUGUAUGAUAUGUAAUCUUGCAGGAGUCAAUUGGUUGAUAAAAAGGGUUGGAGUUAGUGAGUUAGCAAUUCAUACAUUCUUGCAUAUGCAAUGGACCUUUAAGUAAUGGUCCUUGCAAAAUUUGAUUUUUACGGUCACUCCAAAAUUUUAUUCAUUGUGCAUGUUUAUCUCAUUUGCAUUUGAUUAUCAUGUUUAUCAAUUCUAUGGGGG